rnacentral:rRNA from 1 species
GUGAACGCUGGCGGUAGGCCUAACCCAUGCAAGUCGGACGGCAGCACAGUAAGAGCUUGCUCUUACGGGUGGCGAGUGGCGGACGGGUGAGGAAUACAUCGGAAUCUACUUUUUCGUGGGGGAUAACGUAGGGAAACUUACGCUAAUACCGCAUACGACCUACGGGUGAAAGCAGGGGAUCUUCGGACCUUGCGCGAUUGAAUGAGCCGAUGUCGGAUUAGCUAGUUGGCGGGGUAAAGGCCCACCAAGGCGACGAUCCGUAGCUGGUCUGAGAGGAUGAUCAGCCACACUGGAACUGAGACACGGUCCAGACUCCUACGGGAGGCAGCAGUGGGGAAUAUUGGACAAUGGGCGCAAGCCUGAUCCAGCCAUACCGCGUGGGUGAAGAAGGCCUUCGGGUUGUAAAGCCCUUUUGUUGGGAAAGAAAAGCAGCAGGUUAAUACCCCGCUGUUCUGACGGUACCCAAAGAAUAAGCACCGGCUAACUUCGUG